GAUGAACGCUGGCGGCGUGCCUUAGGCAUGCAAGUCGAACGGGCUAGUUUACUAGCUAGUGGCGGAAGGGUGAGUAACACGUGGGAACGUACCCUCUGGUAGAGAACAGCUCGCCGAAAGGCGGGAUAAUUCUGUAUAAAACCGAAAGGUAAAAGGGCUUAACCGCCCGCCGAAGGAGCGGCCUGCGUCUUAUCAGCUUGUUGGUGAGGUAAUGGCUCACCAAGGCGAUGACGAGUAGCUGGGCUGAGAGGUCGAACAGCCACAAUGGAACUGAGACACGGUCCAUACACCUACGGGUGGCAGCAACCGGGAAUCUUGGACAAUGGACGAAAGUCUGAUCCAGCGACGCCGCGUGGGGGAUGAAGGCCUUAGGGUUGUAAACUCCUUUUACCUAUCGUAAUGAUACGGGGAAUAAGCACCUGCCAACUACGUGCCAGCAGCCGCGGUGAUACGUAGGGUGCGAGCGUUAUCCGGAUUUACUGGGCGUAAAGGGUUGCGUAGGCGGUCUAUUAAGUCAAUAUUCAAAUCUCUCGGCUUAACCGGGAACAGGGUUUUGAUACUGGUAGACUAUAGAGUCUUGGAGGGGUAGCCGGAACUUGCAGUGGAGCGGUGAAAUGCGUUGAGAUUGCAAGGAACACCGAUGGCGUAGGCAGGCUACUGGUCAAGUACUGACGCUGAUGCACGAAAGCUAGGGGAGCGAAAGGGAUUAGAGACCCCUGUAGUCCUAGCCGUAAAUGAUGGACACUAGAUGCCUGGUCUGCUAAGGGCAGGAAAGUCGAAAAUGACUACUUCCUGUUUUUAGCGGACUGGGUGUCGCAAGCUAACGCGUUAAGUGUCCCGCCUGGGGAGUACGGCCGCAAGGUUAAAACUCAAAGGAAUUGACGGGGACCUGCACAAGCGGUGGAGCAUGUGGUUUAAUUCGAAACAAAGCGAAAAACCUUACCAGGGUUUGACAUGUAAGCUGCAAACCUGUAGAAAUACAGGAACUCUUCGAGAGUGUUUACACAGGUGCUACAUGGCUGUCGUCAGCUUGUACCGUGAGGCGCACCCUUAAGUGGGUUAACAAGCGCAACCCCCAUCCUAUGUUAUAUAUUUCAUAGGAGACUGCCCGCUAAAUGCGUGGAGGAAGGAGGGGAUGACGUCAAGUCAGCACGGCCCUUAUGCCCUGGGCUACACACAUCCUACAAUGGGUAAGAACAAUGGGUUCUGCAACCUGGCAACAGGAAGCUAAUCCCUUAAAAUUAUCCUCAGUUCGGAUUGAGGGCUGCAAUUUGCCCUCAUGAAGUUGAAAUCGCUAGUAAUCGCGGAUCAGCAGGCCGCGGUGAAUACGUUCUCAGGUCUUGUACACACCGCCCGUCAAGCCAACAAAGUUGGGAGAGCCCGAAAUAUCACAUUUGUGGUCCUAAGGCUAGCCCGGCGAUGGGGACU
rnacentral:rRNA from 1 species